CCUACGGGAGACAGCAGUGAGGAAUAUUGGUCAAUGGCCGGAAGUCUGAACCAGCCAAGUCGCGUGAGGGACGACUGCCCUAUGGGUUGUAAACUUCUUUUAUAUGGGAAUAAUAAAUUCUACGUGUAGGAUGUUGCCUGUACCUUAUGAAUAAGCAUCGGCUAACUCCGUGCCAGCAGCCGCGGUAAUACGGAGGAUGCGAGCGUUAUCCGGAUUUAUUGGGUUUAAAGGGUGCGUAGGCGGUUUUUUAAGUUAGUGGUAAAACGUCGGGGCUUCACCUUGAUUUGCCAUUAAUACUGUAAGACUUGAGUUCAGAAGAGGUAGGCGGAAUAAGUUAAGUAGCGGUGAAAUGCUUAGAUAUAACUUAGAACUCCGAUAGCGAAGGCAGCUUACCAGACUGCGACUGACGCUGAAGCACGAGAGCGUGGGUAGCGAACAGGAUUAGAUACCCUUGUAGUC
rnacentral:rRNA from 1 species